CUUUCGCCUGUGCGGCUGUGAUGGUCGCAGGGUGGACCUCGAAGCAGUCCUUGUGUCCCGAACAUUUCUCGACAUUUGUCGUGUUUGUCACGGUCCAUGAGCGGCUGCAAGUUCUCUCGGAUGCGGAACACUAUGCGGGUGUGGGGGCUCCUUGGCCUCCGAACGCCCAAAUACAGUUCUUUAAAGCGGACGACGGUCACGAAUUGUACUCUGGUGCAGUUCGUGACGUCCCAAAGGAAUGCUACCUGGUUGAUCCUGCCAGUAGUCAUAUGCU
rnacentral:misc_RNA from 1 species